AUGGUAUCAGUUAUACCAGUGAAGGAGAAGAAACUCCUGGAUGUCAAACUAGGGGAGCUGCCAAGCUGGAUACUGAUGCAAGAUUUCACCCCUAGUGGCAUUGCUGGAGCAUUUCAAAGAGGUUUCUACUGGUACUACAACAAGUACAUCGACGUGAAGAAAGGGUGUCUCAGGGGGUUCCACGGUACUGGCAGCUUACAUGCUCUUCAGCUACUGCCUUUCCUACAAGGAGCUCAAGCAUGAGCAGCUAUGCAAGUACCACUGA
rnacentral:lncRNA from 1 species